GCAGCGAUGCCGCGUGAGUGAAGAAGGCCCUUGGGUUGUAAAGCUCUUUCGUCGGGGAAGAAAAUGACUGUACCCGAAUAAGAAGGUCCGGCUAACUUCGUGCCAGCAGCCGCGGUAAUACGAAGGGACCUAGCGUAGUUCGGAAUUACUGGGCUUAAAGAGUUCGUAGGUGGUUGAAAAAGUUGGUGGUGAAAUCCCAGAGCUUAACUCUGGAACUGCCAUCAAAACUUUUCAGCUAGAGUUUGAUAGAGGAAAGCAGAAUUUCUAGUGUAGAGGUGAAAUUCGUAGAUAUUAGAAAGAAUACCAAUUGCGAAGGCAGCUUUCUGGAUCAUUACUGACACUGAGGAACGAAAGCAUGGGUAGCGAAGAGGAUUAGAUACCCUCGUAGUCCAUGCCGUAAACGAUGUGUGUUAGACGUUGGAAAUUUAUUUUCAGUGUCGCAGCGAAAGCGAUAAACACACCGCCUGGGGAGUACGACCGCAAGGUUAAAACUCAAAUGAAUUGACGGGGACCCGCACAAGUAGUGGAGCAUGUGGUUUAAUUCGAAGAUACGCGCAGAACCUUACCAACACUUGACAUGUUCGUCGCGACUUUAAGAGAUUAAAGUUUUCGGUUCGGCCGGACGAAACACAGGUGCUGUAUGGCUGUCGUCAGCUCGUGUCGUGAGAUGUUGGGUUAAGUCCCGCAACGAGCGCAACCCUCACUUUUAGUUGCCAUCAUUUAGUUGGGCACUCUGAAAGAACUGCCAGUGAUAAGCUGGAGGAAGGUGGGGAUGACGUCAAGUCCUCAUGGCCCUUACGUGUUGGGCUACACACGUGCUACAAUGGUAUCUACAACA
rnacentral:rRNA from 1 species